rnacentral:rRNA from 1 species
AGUGAACGCUGGCGGCGUGCCUAAUACAUGCAAGUCGAACGGAGAUUAAAUAGCUUGCUAUUUAAUCUUAGUGGCGCACGGGUGAGUAAUGUAUAGUUAAUCUGCCCCAUAGUGGAGGACAACAGUUAGAAAUGACUGCUAAUACUCCAUACUCCUUCUUAUCAUAAGUUAAGUCGGGAAAGUUUUUCGCUAUGGGAUGAGACUAUAUCGUAUCAGUUAGUUGGUAAGGUAAUGGCUUACCAAGGCUAUGACGCGUAACUGGUCUGAGAGGAUGAUCAGUCACAUUGGAACUGAGACACGGUCCAAACUCCUACGGGAGGCAGCAGUAGGGAAUAUUGCGCAAUGGGGGAAACCCUGACGCAGCAACGCCGCGUGGAGGAUGACACUUUUCGGAGCGUAAACUCCUUUUGUUAGGGAAGAAUAAUGACGGUAC